GAUGAACGCUGGCGGCGUGCCUAAUACAUGCAAGUCGAGCGAACGGACGAGAAGCUUGCUUUUCUGAUGUUAGCGGCGGACGGGUGAGUAACACGUGGAUAACCUACCUAUAAGACUGGGAUAACUUCGGGAAACCGGAGCUAAUACCGGAUAAUAUUUUGAACCGCAUGGUUCAAAAGUGAAAGACGGUCUUGCUGUCACUUAUAGAUGGAUCCGCGCUGCAUUAGCUAGUUGGUAAGGUAACGGCUUACCAAGGCAACGAUGCAUAGCCGACCUGAGAGGGUGAUCGGCCACACGGGAACUGAGCCACGGUCCAGACUCCUACGGGGGGCAGCAGUAGGGAAUCCUCCGCAAUGGGCGAAAGCCUGACGGAGCAACGCCGCGUGAGUGAUGAAGGUCUUCGGAUCGUAAAACUCUGUUAUUAGGGAAGAACAUAUGUGUAAGUAACUGUGCACAUCUUGACGGUACCUAAUCAGAAAGCCACGGCUAACUACGUG
rnacentral:rRNA from 1 species